rnacentral:rRNA from 1 species
UACGUAGGGUGCAAGCGUUGUCCGGAAUUAUUGGGCGUAAAGAGCGUGUAGGCGGCCCCAUUAGUCCGCUGUGAAAGCCCCGGGCUCAACCUGGGAACGGCGCGCGAGACGGGGGGGCUGGAGUUCGGGAGAGGAGCGUGGAAUUCCCAGUGUAGAGGUGAAAUUCGUAGAUAUUGGGAAGAACACCGGUGGCGAAGGCGGCGCUCUGGACCGAGACUGACGCUGAGGCGCGAAAGCGUGGGGAGCAAACAGG